GAUGAAGAACGUAGCGAAAUGCGAUAAUUAAUGUGAAUUGCAGAAUACCGUGAAUCAUCGAGUCUUUGAACGCACAUUGCGCCUCAUGGCAUUCCGUGAGGCAUGCCCAUCUCAGCAUUAGAAAAUAUUCUCAAAUUUUAGUUUUGUGCUAAAAUUUGGAUCAUGUCAAGGAAGCUAUUACUAUUAUUGUGAUCGCUCUUUGGAAAUUAAUAGGUCUUUGAGUUGCUACUCAUAGAACGUGAUGAAUCUUUCUUCGUUCUAUUGUAAUUCACUCUGGUAGUUCUAAAGGUUGUAUGCCUGUGGCAUAUCUUGUAAUUUGACCUGAGAUUGGGUAGGGAUACCCGCUGAACUUAAGCAUAUCAAUAAGCGGAGGA
rnacentral:misc_RNA from 1 species